GUAUACUUCUCUGUUGUAUGCUACGUUCUUAAAAGAUUCUGCUUUUUUUUUUCUUUAAUAUCAUUCUGACUUUCUCAGAUAUAUUUCCUCAUUAACUCAUGAUUUUUCUUACUAGAAUCUACACCAAAACAGAACAGGAAAGAUGCAUCUACUGCAGAGUAUUUUACUGUCCAGCGUUCUAUAGGUUGUUGUCAGCAUUUGCAAAAAGCACAAGCAACUACAAAGAUCAAGAUUAGCAGAAAAUAAAAACAGGAGACUUUGUACAAAAGGAAAAUUCGGAGAUGAAUUCAGUGAUGAGUCUGCUAGAGUUUAAGGAGUCAAUUUAAGGAGGUUAAGAUGUUAGAGAAGCAAAGCAUAUGGGCAGUGCUGGAUGGACUUACACAUCUACCUUCUUUACAUCAAAACUGUCAUUACGUUAUCACUGAAAUGGUUGACAAGAACUGCCAAAACAUGGCCUAUGCUUGUGACAUGAGCCUCAGUAAAGCAGGUAAAUAUAGAUUGCCUGAUCUCUCUAAUCCAUGUGUGUGGCUUUACUAUAUGGUUAAUAUUUUACUAUACUACAUGCACAGGAAUACAUAAUUUUAUAAAAUUAGUGUGAUCAAAAAAGAUGAGCUUUUCAGGAGUUGUUCAUAAAUGUUUGCUUA
ensembl:lncRNA